GAUGAACGCUGGCGGCGUGCCUAAUACAUGCGGGUCGAGCGAACAGACGAGGAGCUUGCUCCUCUGACGUUAGCGGCGGACGGGUGAGUAACACGUGGAUAACCUACCUAUAAGACUGGGAUAACUUCGGGAAACCGGAGCUAAUACCGGAUAAUAUAUUGAACCGCAUGGUUCAAUAGUGAAAGACGGUUUUGCUGUCACUUAUAGAUGGAUCCGCGCCGCAUUAGCUAGUUGGUAAGGUAACGGCUUACCAAGGCAACGAUGCGUAGCCGACCUGAGAGGGUGAUCGGCCACACUGGAACUGAGACACGGUCCAGACUCCUACGGGAGGCAGCAGUAGGGAAUCUUCCGCAAUGGGCGAAAGCCUGACGGAGCAACGCCGCGUGAGUGAUGAAGGUCUUCGGAUCGUAAAACUCUGUUAUUAGGGAAGAACAAAUGUGUAAGUAACUAUGCACGUCUUGACGGUACCUAAUCAGAAAGCCACGGCUAACUACGUG
rnacentral:rRNA from 1 species